ensembl:lncRNA
AUGCUGGGGCCGCUGCUUGGGCUGGUAGUGAUGCCAGUAGCUGGGAACCUGGGGCCGGUAGCUGGGAACCUGGGGCUUGGGCCGGUAGCUGGGAACCUGGGGCCGAGGCCGAGGCUGAGGCUUGGGCCGGUAGCUGGGAACCUGGGGCCGAGGCUGAGGCUUGGGCCGGUAGCUGGGAGGCUGAGGCCGGGGCCGGUAGCUGGGAGGCUGAGGCCGGGGCCGGUAGCUGGGAGGCUGAGGCCGGGGCCGGUAGCUGGGAGGCUGAGGCCGGGGCCGGUAGCUGGGAGGCUGAGGCCGGGGCCGGUAGCUGGGAGGCUGAGGCCGGGGCUGAGGCCGAGGCCUGGGCGGGUAGCUGGGAACCUGGGGGGGCUGAGGCAUGGGCUGGUAGCUGGGAACCUGGGGCCGAGGCUGAGGCUGAGGCAUGGGCUGGUAGACGGGAACCUGGGGCCGAGGCUGAGGCUGAGGCAUGGGCUGGUAGACGGGAACCUGGGGCUGAGGCUUGGGCAUGGACUGGUAGACGGUAACCUGGGGCUGAGGCAUGGGCUGGUAGCUGGGAACCUGGGGCUGAGGCAUGGGCUGGUAGCUGGGAACCUGGGGCUGAGGCAUGGGCUGGUAGCUGGGAACCUGGGGCCGAGGCUGAGGCUUGGGCUGGUAGCUGGGAACCUGGGGCCGAGGCUGAGGCUGAGGCUGAGGCUUGGGCUGGUAGCUGGGAACCUGGGGCCGAGGCUGAGGCUGAGGCAUGGGCUGGUAGAUGGGAACCUGGGGCUGAGGCUUGGGCAUGGGCUGGUAGACGGGAACCUGGGGCUGAGGCUUGGGCAUGGACUGGUAGACGGGAACCUGGGGCUGAGGCAUGGGCUGGUAGCUGGGAACCUGGGGCUGAGGCAUGGGCUGGUAGAUGGGAACCUGGGGCCGAGGCUGAGGCUGAGGCAUGGACUGGUAGACGGGAACCUGGGGCUGAGGCUUGGGCUGGUAGCUGGGAACCUGGGGCUGAGGCUGAGGCAUGGGCUGGUAGCUGGGAACCUGGGGCUGAGGCUGAGGCAUGGGCUGGUAGCUGGGAACCUGGGGCUGAGGCUGAAGCAUGGGCUGGUAGCUGGGAACCUGGGGCUGAGGCUUGGGCUGGUAGCUGGGAACCUGGGGCUGAGGCUUGGGCUGGUAGCUGGGAACCUGGGGCUGAGGCUGAGGCAUGGGCUGGUAGCUGGGAACCUGGGGCUGAGGCAUGGGCUGGUAGCUGGGAACCUGGGGCUGAGGCUGAGGCAUGGGCUGGUAGCUGGGAACCUGGGGCUGAGGCUGAGGCAUGGGCUGGUAGCUGGGAACCUGGGGCUGAGGCAUGGGCUGGUAGCUGGGAACCUGGGGCUGAGGCUGAGGCAUGGGCUGGUAGCUGGGAACCUGGGGCUGAGGCUUGGGCUGGUAGCUGGGAACCUGGGGCUGAGGCUUGGGCUGGUAGCUGGGAACCUGGGGCUGAGGCUUGGGCUGGUAGCUGGGAACCUGGGGCUGAGGCUUGGGCUGGUAGCUGGGAACCUGGGGCUGAGGCUUGGGCUGGUAGCUGGGAACCUGGGGCUGAGGCUUGGGCUGGUAGCUGGGAACCUGGGGCUGAGGCUUGGGCUGGUAGAUGGGAACCUGGGGCUGAGGCUUGGGCUGGUAGAUGGGAACCUGGGGCUGAGGCUGAGGCAUGGGCUGGUAGAUGGGAACCUGGGGCUGAGGCCUGGGAACCUGGGGCUCAUAGCUCAUGUCCGAAAUGCCUGGCUCAAAUCCCCAAUAGGAAGCUAA